rnacentral:rRNA from 1 species
UGAGGAACAUGACCUUCGGCGGGGGAUAGCCGGCCCGACGGCCGGGUAAUACCGCGUACGACCACAUGGGGACAUCCCUGAGUGGUGAAAGCAGCAAUGCGCCGAUGGAGUGCCUCGCGGCCUAUCAGCUAGUUGGUGAGGUAACGGCUCACCAAGGCAACGAUGCGUAGCCGACCUGAGAGGGUGAUCGGCCACAUUGGAACUGAGACACGGUCCAGACCUNUACGGGGAGG